AGUGGCGGACGGGUGAGUAACGCGUGGGUAACCUGCCUCAUACAGGGGGAUAACAGUUAGAAAUGACUGCUAAUACCGCAUAAGGCCACAGCACCGCAUGGUGCAGGGGUAAAAACUCCGGUGGUAUGAGAUGGACCCGCGUCUGAUUAGGUAGUUGGUGGGGUAACGGCCUACCAAGCCGACGAUCAGUAGCCGACCUGAGAGGGUGACCGGCCACAUUGGGACUGAGACACGGUCCAA
rnacentral:rRNA from 1 species